rnacentral:rRNA from 1 species
UACGGGGGGGGCAAGCGUUGUUCGGAAUCACUGGGCGUAAAGGGCGUGUAGGCGGUCAAGUAAGUGGAAUGUGAAAUCCCUCGGCUUACCCGAGGACCUGCAUCCCAAACUGCUUGGCUUGAGUAUGGGAGAGGAUGAGGGAAUUCCUGGUGUAGCGGUGAAAUGCGUAGAUAUCAGGAGGAACACCGGUGGCGAAAGCGCUCAUCUGGCCCAAUACUGACGCUGAGGCGCGAAAGCUAGGGGAGCAAACGGG